UACCGCUACGUCUUGGCUGGUUCAGUACCACUACGUGUUGGCUGGUUCAGUACCACUACGUCUUGGCUGGUUCAGUACCGCUACGUCUUGGCUGGUUCAGUACCACUACGUCUUGGCUGGUUCAGUACCGCUACGUCUUGGCUGGUUCAGUACCGCUACGUCUUGGCUGGUUCAGUACCGCUACGUCUUGGCUGGUUCAGUACCGCUACGUCUUGGCUGGUUCAGUACCGCUACGUCUUGGCUGGUUCAGUACCGCUACGUCUUGGCUGGUUCAGUACCGCUACGUCUUGGCUGGUUCAGUACCGCUACGUCUUGGCUGGUUCAGUACCGCUACGUCUUGGCUGGUUCAGUACCGCUACGUCUUGGCUGGUUCAGUACCGCUACGUCUUGGCUGGUUCAGUACCGCUACGUCUUGGCUGGUUCAGUACCGCUACGUCUUGGCUGGUUCAGUACCGCUACGUCUUGGCUGGUUCAGUACCACUACGUCUUGGCUGGUUCAGUACCACUACGUCUUGGCUGGUUCAGUACCACUACGUCUUGGCUGGUUCAGUACCACUACGUCUUGGCUGGUUCAGUACCGCUACGUCUUGGCUGGUUCAGUACCACUACGUCUUGGCUGGUUCAGUACCACUACGUCUUGGCUGGUUCAGUACCACUACGUCUUGGCUGGUUCAGUACCGCUACGUCUUGGCUGGUUCAGUACCGCUACGUCUUGGCUGGUUCAGUACCACUACGUGUGGUCGUAGGCUCUGAUUAAGUUCUCAGUGUCAGAAAUCUGGAGCCCUUUUAUGUCGUGUUGCGAGCCGAUUCUGGUGACUGACUGACCAAUAGGAACACGCCUGACACCGAGUAUGUGCACAAUAAUAUGAUUAUUUUGAAUAGGUAGAUGAAUAUAAUCGUUUGAUUUAAAGAUUUAUAUGCCUUGCAAGAAGAAUGUUUCCCUCAUCAUCUCGUUUACGUGACAUCUGAAAUAAUUUGAGUCAUUUAGGAGAUGUGAUUUACAGGAGAGAUUCGGGUUAAGUGCAUUGCUCAAGGGCACAUUGACAGAUGUUUCACCAAGUCGUCUCUGGGAUUCGAACCAGCGACCUUUCGGGUAAUGGCCGAACGCUCAACAACCGCUAGGCUACCUGUCUCUUCACUCUUAAACAUUGAGAGAGGCUUGGCUGCUGCCACAUGACCAAAAACACAGCUGCAGUUGACUUGUCGGCUGACGGAGCCUCGCAGGCCAAUCUCAGAAUGUACCAUUAGCUUCAGUUCUGUAAAUCACAAUCUGGCCAGGUUACUGAGCUAACAUAUGGAAUUGUUUUAAGAUGGUCCAAUCUGGCCAGGGUACUGAGCUAACAUAUGGAGUUGUUUUAAGAUGGUCCAAUCUGGCCAGGUUACUGAGCUAACAUAUGGAGUUGUUUUAAGAUGGUCCAAUCUGGCCAGGGUACUGAGCUAACAUAUGGAAUUGUUUUAAGAUGGUCCAAUCUGGCCAGGUUACUGAGCUAACAUAUGGAGUUGUUUUAAGAUGGUCCAAUCUGGCCAGGUUACUGAGCUAACAUAUGGAGUUGUUUUAAGAUGGUCCAAUCUGGCCAGGGUACUGAGCUAACAUAUGGAAUUGUUUUAAGAUGGUCCAAUCUGGCCAGGUUACUGAGAUAACAUAUGGAGUUGUUAACAUAUCGUCCAAUCUGGCCAGGUUACUGAGCUAACAUAUGGAGUUGUUUUAAGAUGGUCCAAUCUGGCCAGGUUACUGAGCUAACAUAUGGAAUUGUUAACAUAUCGUCCAAUCUGGCCAGGUUACUGAGCUAACAUAUGGAAUUGUUUUAAGAUUUUCCAAUCUGGCCAGGUUAC